rnacentral:rRNA from 1 species
GCGUGAGUGACGAAGGCCUUAGGGUUGUAAAGCUCUUUUGGCGGGGAAGAUAAUGACGGUACCCGCAGAAUAAGCUCCGGCUAACUUCGUGCCAGCAGCCGCGGUAAUACGAAGGGAGCUAGCGUUGUUCGGAAUCACUGGGCGUAAAGCGCACGUAGGUGGGUGACUAAGUUAGGGGUGAAAGCCCAAGGCUCAACCUUGGAAUUGCCUCUAAUACUGGUCAUCUAGAGUCCGAGAGAGGUGGGUGGAAUUCCUAGUGUAGAGGUGAAAUUCGU